rnacentral:rRNA from 1 species
CCAGACUCCUACGGGAGGCAGCAGUGGGGAAUCUUCCGCAAUGGGCGCAAGCCUGACGGAGCAACGCCGCGUGAGUGAAGAAGGUCUUCGGAUCGUAAAGCUCUGUUGAUGGGGACGAACGUGCCUAAUGCGAAUAGUUUUAGGCAAUGACGGUACCCAUCGAGGAAGCCACGGCUAACUACGUGCCAGCAGCCGCGGUAAUACGUAGGUGGCGAGCGUUGUCCGGAAUCAUUGGGCGUAAAGGGAGCGCAGGCGGGCAUGUAAGUCUUUCUUAAAAGUGCGGGGCUCAACCCCGUGAUGGGAAAGAAACUAUGUGUCUUGAGUACAGGAGAGGAAAGCGGAAUUCCCAGUGUAGCGGUGAAAUGCGUAGAUAUUGGGAGGAACACCAGUGGCGAAGGCGGCUUUCUGGACUGCAACUGACGCUGAGGCUCGAAAGCCAGGGGAGCGAACGGGAUUAGAUACCCCGGUAGUCCACACCGUAAACGAUGGAUACUAGGAGUUGGCAAAAAUAUUGUCGGUUCCGCAGUUAACGCAUUAAGUAUCCCACCUGGGGAGUACGACCGCAAGGUUAAAACUCAAAGGAAUUGACGGGGCCCGCACAAG